rnacentral:rRNA from 1 species
AACGAACGCUGGCGGCGCGUCUUAACCAUGCAAGUCGAGCGGCAGGCAGCAAUGCCGAGAGCGGCGGACUGGUGAGUAACACGUGGAUAACGUACCCCGAUGUCUGGGACAGCCUGUAGAAAUAGAGGGUAAUACCGGAUAGAUCACUGUUUACGUGAGGUAGACAGCGGGAAAGGAGCUUCGGCUCCGCGUCGGGAACAGUCUGCGGCCCAUCAGCUAGACGGCGGGGUAAGUGCCCGCCGUGGCGAGGACGGGUAUCCGGCCUGAGAGGGCGGACGGACACAUUGGGACUGAGAUACGGCCCAGACUCCUACGGGAGGCAGCAGGUAAGAAUAUUCCGCAAUGGGGGGAACCCUGACGGAGCGACGCCGCGUGAACGAAGAAGGCCGGAAGGUUGUAAAGUUCUUUUCUGUCCGAGGAAUAAGUGUAGGAGGAAAUGCCUGCAUGGUGACGGUAGGGCAGGAAUAAGCACCGG